rnacentral:misc_RNA from 1 species
CCAGAGUAUGAUGGCCGUGAAUUCGUCGAGCAUGGCACAGAGAAGUGUGUCGUGACUGUAUACAUUGGAUCCAGUCCGCACCAUGUGGAAUGGAGUGUCACUGCUGCUGGGCACAGAUUCAAAGACACCUGCCAAGUUGUCGCUCGCAAGGCAUUGAGGGCCCUGUGUCAGAUCUAUGAAGAAGAAGUGGCCGACACACCGCUCAGAUUCUUUCCGCCCUUUCAGAGAGACCGUCCUGUUUGGAUGGCCAAGAUGCGUGCAUUGGAAGGUCAGCAGCUGCUUGAGGAUGACCCCACAGUCGUGUACCUCACUGCAUACCUGCUCACCCUGGAUGCCCAGUAUGAUUUCUUGGCUCGGCACCAUCGUCAGAUGAUUGCCCGAGUAGAAGAUGCAGAGAAGCGCAACCGUCAGCUCCAUGUGGAUCUCACCACAGCUCAAGCCCGUGCAACUGCAUUGGAAAGUCGUGAAGUCAUUGCUGUUGAAGCCCUGAAGCAAGCCAAGGAUGAGCACGUCCAGAAGUUGAUGGAGGCCUACUUGGUCACCCAUAACCAACGUAGAGCCCUGCGAAUCCAAGAACCCGCUUCAUCCAACCUAGUUCAACCCAUAAGAGCUGAAGACCCGCAGAUUUUUGAAGGUCACCCGGUCUCUAUCAGAGGAGAGAAGAAGGCUUGGGAACUCCCAGAAGGAGCCAUAGUCUUGGAAGGAAUUCCAGUCUCCCCUCAGGCUAUGGAUAAGCAAGAGCACCCUGAGUCCUCUCAAGAUCCCCCGCCAGAGUUGUUUGAGCCCCUCACCAUGAAGAAGAUUCUAGCACCAUCCCUUGAAGUCAAGGAAGAAGCUGCAAGCACCCCGCCAGCACCGCCGCCCUCUGAGGAGCUACAAGAGCCAGUCCAGCUCGAAGAAGAGUUCGACCCCGUUUUGCCACCUCAGUUGCCGCCAGAAGAAGUCAUCAACAUCAGCUCCCUCUUGACCCAUCUCGGAGAUGUCUCAGAUUGAAGUUGUGCGCCAGCCUUGCCAGAAGAGAAGUUGCCUGGUCUGAAGUUAGUUAUGCCAGUCCUCUGCAUGCAUUGGGUAGUGAAGUUUUUCUUCACUUUGGCUAGAGCCCUACAUGUAUGAGAGGUAAUCGUGUAGACUCGUGUUUUGAAAAACUCUAAUUGUGUGGCCCCCUAGGGCAUUUCAAAAUGAAUUUUGCUUGAUGUUUUCUCCCCCUUUUGAGUGCAUAUGUGAUGCU